AAGACCUUGCACUUUUGGAGCGGCCGAUGUCUGAUUAGCUAGUUGGUGGGGUAAUGGCCUACCAAAGCUUCGAUCAGUAGCUGGUCUGAGAGGACGGCCAGCCACACUGGGACUGAGACACGGCCCAGACUCCUACGGGAGGCAGCAGUGGGGAAUUUUGGACAAUGGGCGCAAGCCUGAUCCAGCCAUGCCGCGUGAGUGAAGAAGGCCUUCGGGUUGUAAAGCUCUUUCAGCCGGGAAGAAAAGGUUGCGACUAAUAAUCGCAAUCCAUGACGGUACCGAAAGAAGAAGCACCGGCUAACUACGUGCCAGCAGCCGCGGUAAUACGUGGGGUGCGAGCGUUAAUCGGAAUUACUGGGCGUAAAGGGUGCGCAGGCGGUUUUGUAAGUCAGAUGUGAAAUCCCCGGGCUUAACCUGGGAACU
rnacentral:rRNA from 1 species